rnacentral:rRNA from 1 species
GGGGAGCAAUCCCUGAGUAAAGUGGCGUACUGGUGAGUAACACGUGGAUAUCUACCUCCUGGUGGGGAAUAACCUGGGGAAACCUGGGCUAAUACCGCAUAAGUUCGUGAGAAGAAAGCCGAAAGGCGCCGGGAGAGGAGUCCGCGGUCGAUUAGGUAGCUGGCGGGGUAAGAGCCCACCAAGCCAAAGAUCGAUAGCCGGCCUGAGAGGGCACACGGCCACACUGGCACUGAAACACGGGCCAGACUCCUACGGGAGGCAGCAGUGGGGAAUCUUGCACAAUGGGGGAAACCCUGAUGCAGCGACGCCGCGUGAGCGAUGAAGCCCUUCGGGGUGUAAAGCUCUUUCGGCAGGAACGAUAAUGACGGUACCUGCAGAAGAAGCUGCGGCUAACUACGUGCCAGCAGCCGCGGUAAUACGUAGGCAGCAAGCGUUGUUCGGAAUUACUGGGCGUAAAGAGUGUGUAGGUGGUGUCGUAAGUUUGGUGUGAAAUCUCCCGGCUUAACUGGGAGGGUGCGCCGAAGACUGCGAUGCUGGAGUAUGGGAGAGGAAAGCGGAAUUCCUGGUGUAGCGGUGAAAUGCGUAGAUAUCAGGAGGAACACCUGCGGUGUAGACGGCUUUCUGGACCAUUACUGACACUGAGACACGAAAGCGUGGGUAGCAAACAGGAUUAGAUACCCUGGUAGUCCACGCCCUAAACGAUGCAUACUUGGUGUGAGCCAUUCAGUUGGUUCGUGCCGGAGCUAACGCGUU